UGAGCACAGGGUACUUUAUUGAUGGUAUAUGACAAGGUGGGGCUCCCUAGGCCCCUCCCCUCUUCAAGGGGUCUACAUGGAAACUGUGAGGAGGGGAGAUUCAGUGUGGUGGGGGACUGACCAAAUUCAUUGUCAUACCAGGAAAUGAGCUUGAAAAAGUGGUUGUUGAGGGCAAUGACAGCCCCAGCAUUGAAGGUGGAAGAGUGGGUGUUGCUGUUGAAGUCGGAGGAGACCACCUGGUGCUCAGUGUAGCCCAGGAUGCCCUUGAGGGGGCCCUCCGAUGCCUGCUUCACCACCUUCUUGGUGUCAUCAUAUUUGGCAGGUUUUUCCAGACGGCAGGUCAGGUCCACCACUGACACGGCAGUGGGGACACAGAAGGCCAUGCCAGUGAGCUUCCCGUUCAGCUCAGGGAUGACCUUGCCCAUAGCCUUCGCAGUGCCAGUAGAGGCAGGGAUGAUGUUCUGGAGAGCCCCGUGGCCAUCACGCCACAGUUUCCCGGAGGGGCCAUCCACAGUCUUCUGGGUGGCAGUGAUGGCGUGGACUAUGGUCAUGAGUCCUUCCACGAUACCAAAGUUGUCAUGGAUGACCUUGGCCAGGGGUGCUAAGCAGUUGGUGGUGCAGAAGGCACUGCCGACAAUCUUGAGGUUGUUGUCAUACUUCUCAUGGUUCACACCCAUGACAAACAUUGGGGCAUCAGCAGAGGGGGCAGAGAUGAUGACCCUUUUGGCUCCCCCCUGCAAAUGAGGCCCAGCCUUCUACAUGGUGGUGAAGACGCCAGUGGACUCCAUGACGUACUCAGCGCCAGCAUCGCCCCACUUGAUUUUGGAGGGAUCUCGCUCCUGGAAGAUGGUGAUGGGAUUUCCAUUGAUGACAAGCUUCCCAUUCUCAGCCUUGACGGUGCCAUGGAAUU
rnacentral:lncRNA from 1 species